rnacentral:rRNA from 1 species
UACGGAAGGCAGCAGUGGGGAAUAUUGCACAAUGGGCGCAAGCCUGAUGCAGCCAUGCCGCGUGUAUGAAGAAGGCCUUCGGGUUGUAAAGUGCUUUCAGUCGUGAGGAAGGUGUUAAGGUUAAUAACCUUAGCAAUUGACGUUAGCGACAGAAGAAGCACCGGCUAACUCCGUGCCAGCAGCCGCGGUAAUACGGAGGGUGCGAGCGUUAAUCGGAAUUACUGGGCGUAAAGGGCACGCAGGCGGUUAAUUAAGUUGGAUGUGAAAUCCCCGGGCUUAACCUGGGAAUGGCAUUCAAGACUGGUUAGCUAGAGUCUUGUAGAGGGGGUAGAAUUCCAUGUGUAGCGGUGAAAUGCGUAGAGAUGUGGAGGAAUACCGGUGGCGAAGGCGGCCCCUGGGACAAAGACUGACGCUCAUGUGCGAAAGCGUGGGGAGCAAACAGGAUUAGGAUACC